AUAGCUUAGUCGGCAAAGCACUUGGCUCACAAUCUUGAGGUCGCGAGUUCAAAUCCUGCU
rnacentral:tRNA from 1 species